rnacentral:lncRNA from 1 species
ACCACCACCUGGUUCUGGGCAGAGUCAGUGAUCUGCCAGUUGACUGCCAACUGGAAGUCUGAAUUCUACCAAUGAGACAAGGUUUUCUGGAAUAAAUGAUCACCUUCAUAAACCAGCAUACGGGGAUCUACGAUGUUCAUGCUUUCUCCCAACUUCCCCUGGAGAAAGCUUGACUUGAGGUAGGUCUCAUAGAUUUACUUUCAACCCAAGGGACUUCCAAAUCUGUAUGUGAAAGAAGCAGACCUACUGAUCCUUCUGGGAAAGAUAAGAAUCCGUGUAUGUGCCGGCACAGCCACCUUCUGUAAUAACCCAGGCUGGAGUAGAGGAGAGAGCAGAAUCCACAUGAGGUCAUGAGGAGGACCAACCCAGUGUGCAGAAUCCUGCUCAGUAGAAGGAAAGCUGAGGACCAAUGGAGACAGCCCUGAGCCUCUGACAAAGAGGCUACAACUGGACAAGGGACUGUCUUCAUUUCUCUUCCUAUUGUUUAUGGGAGAAAGAGCUUAACUGGGCUCACAGUUCAAAGGUACAGGCCAUCAUAGCCAGGAAAUCAAAGCAGCCGGGGCUUGAAGCAGCUGGUCCCCUGGCAUCUGCAGUCAAGAAGAAAAGGCCAAUGAAUGCACACAGUUUCUCAGCUCCCUUUCUCCACGUACCAGCCAGGGAAUGACACCGCCAGUGGCUACAGGUCUUCCCACCUCGAUGAACCUGUUCAAGAAAGCUCCCUACGAGCAUGCACAGAGGCCUGCCUCCCAGGUGGUUGGCAUGCUGGAGGCCCGGCCAUAGGAUUGCAGAGUGGACAGAGCUAAAUUGUCCUCCUGAUGAGGAGCCGAGAAGAAGAACUAGCCUGGGGUUCCAUCACGGGGAUGUUUAUGAUACUGAUUAGCUUCCUCUGUGAAGCUCUCCCCAUCUUAGCUGGUCCUGGCAAAAUCAGAGUCAGAUGACAGCUCUGGUCCUCGUCACUGUGGGCUCAUCUCCUCUGAUCUCUACACGACACAGCUGCUGAUAGAUCCUCGAAACCCCUUUCAAAUGCUGUCCCAUCCUCCCCUGCAUCCCCUGACCUUUGACAUCUGGGGAGCCAUCACUGAAGGUUCACCUGUAGUAUUGGCCUCACUCGGCCUCCUAAAUGAAUCUGUAAGCUCUGUAAGGCAGAGACCGUUCUGCCCCAUGCAACCCUCCAUACCCACAACUCCUCCAGUACACCGACAUCACUAAUGAGUGACAGUCUUCCUGAGAGAUCUGAAACUGUCUUUAGACUUCUGACACUGCAGAAGGCUUUCUCCCCCCAUAACCUUCAUAAAAAUAAAGUUUUGUUCCACAUCGAGCCCCAUUCCAUCCUACUUGGAGCUCCUUUUCAUUCCCCAGUGAAGAUGAGAAGAAAUGGAUUGACUUCACUGAGCUCAUAGCCUUUCCAAGGCUUUAACACCACUAUUAAAUCACCUUUGAGCCUCCUUUCUUCUUCAGGCUAAAUAACCUCAGGUCCUUUCAUGUGUCUUCAAAAUGUAACUCCCUGCCUUGUAAUUAGCUUGGCAACACUUCUGAAUUCUCUCCAGAGUCUCCACGCCCAGAAAGAAGAAGAGACUUGUAGGAGAAACAGAGAGAACUACACUGAGAGCCUACUAUGCCCGGGCAUUGCUCUUCCCCACUCUUCCUGGCUGCUACUAACCCCGCUGGACAGAUGGCAAAGCAGACUCAGUAGGGCUGACAGUUUUUCCAGCCCUCAUGACACUGUGGGCAGAUAAUUUGGGGGAUGUAAGCACUGCCCUAGCUAGGCUAUAUGGAAAGCCCAGUAGCAGCUCUGGGCUCCAUCACCUGAUACAGUAGCAAGCUCUUCCUCCUGAGAAUUGUAACAACAGCAACAACGAAAAAUGUAUCCAGCUAUUACUGAAUGUCCUCUGGGGGGCGGGGAGCAGUUAACACCCCCUCAAAAUCGGAAACUACUUUGUUAAAGGAAUUUUCCAACAAUCAAUCAACUUGUAACAGAGACAGAACUGAGAUCUGUCAGCAUCUAAGACUUUUCUCUCUCCUGCCCCCAUACAACGGCUUGAGAGUCUCAUCUGGGAAAAUAGCAGGACGAUGUCAUUAUAUUUUCCACUUUUAUCACUCCCCACCCCAACAUUUAAUCUAUGCGUUGCUGAGAUCGGCUAAUAGAUUGCUCUGCUCCAGGCUAACCCACUCCUUGUCUAAGCACACUGCAGCAGAAAGCCUCGCCUUAGUCCAACAGGAUGGCAGGAAAUUCCCCCAUCCCCCAAAUCAAGGUUCAGUAUCGCUAACUUCAAUGCAAGCAGAAGGCACAGUAAUCAGAUGACACUUGCUACUGAAUGCUGUCCUCUACACCUAGCAGCCACUGCCAUCUUCACCAGAGCAGCUAUGACUGCCAACAAGAGACCCUCAAGAUCCAGCCCAUUGAUGGCCUUUCAUAGGAGAGAGAGCAGAAAGGGGUCAUCGGACUCUUACCUGAGACUGCUGCCACUCUUUCAUACAUCUCCCUCCAGAGAUCUGUAUUUUUGCCCCAGCUGCACAUGGUCUGGGGUCUUAGGUAACAGAGGACAAGUAUGGAUCAUUAGUUGAAGGGAAGACACCAUUUAAAUAGCUAUGGAGAAGCUGUCGUCCAUGCUGGGCUGAGACUUUUUGGUGUCGUGGCUGUUUAGGGAUAACCCGUGCUUCUAUAAAACCUCUUAUUUACGUUCUGUAAGCAAGCCCAAUAAACUCAUCAGUUUAUUG